AAUGAUCAAGGAGUUUUCUUUCCCCAUCUUAGAUUCUCUUCCCUGUAUGAGUAGAAUCCUUGACUGAACAGGAAAUCGUUGCCUGAGUUUUUGGUUUCACAUGUUCAUUGAUGAACUCCUUAAGUUGUUGAUACAAUGAUAUUCUGCCCAUAAUCCCAUAAAUUAUUCUUCUUGUGUUGGUUGGUAUUGUGCAUUUUCCCAAGGUUAAUGUCUUAAUCAAAGAUGCACUUAAUCAAAGAUGAUUGGGAAGGGAGUAUCUAUUGUCCUUUGCUCAUGUAAUGUUUUGUGUAUUAGUCUGAGAUUCAGCUGUGUAUUAGUCCUGCAGUACCUGUUUUCAGUCAAGGAUGCAGUACAGAGCAAGUCCUAAAUACCAGGGUGGAUUUUCUUUUCACCUUUCUUUGUUUGUUCAUAAAUAUUUUAUAUGUUUGUUGGCAAAUAGAUCUGCAACUUGAGAUUUGCUGCGUGUUUGUAGGUGUUUUUGUUGCCUUAUUUUGACUACUUAGACUAAGAUGGACCAAGGGGUUUGCUCAGAUCUUAAU
rnacentral:misc_RNA from 1 species